rnacentral:rRNA from 1 species
CCAUUAAAGCGUCACGCGAGCUGGGUUCAGAACGUCGCGAGACAGUUCGGUCCCUAUCUGUCGUGGGCGAUGGAAACUUGAGAAGAGCUACUCCUAGUACGAGAGGACCAGAGUGGACGCACCGCUGGCGUACCAGUUAGUCUGCCAGGACUACAGCUGGGUAACUAUGUGCGGAACGGAUAAACGCUGAAAGCAUCUAAGCGUGAAGCCAACUUCAAGAUGAGGUUUCCCAUUAGCAAUAAGUAAGAUCCCUUAUAGACGAUGAGGUUGAUAGGUCAGGUGUGUAAGCAUGGUGACAUGUUGAGCUGACUGAUACUAAUAGAUCGAGGACUUAACCUA